AACAAGGAUUCCCCUAGUAACUGCGAGUGAAGCGGGAAAAGCUCAAAUUUAAAAUCUGGCGGUCUUUGGCCGUCCGAGUUGUAAUCUAGAGAAGUAAUGCCCGUGCUGGACCGUGUAUAAGUCUCCUGGGAUGGGGCGUCAUAGAGGGUGAGAAUCCCGUCUUUGACACGGACUACCAGUGCAUUGUGGUAUGCUCUCAAAGAGUCGAGUUGUUUGGGAAUGCAGCUCAAAAUGGGUGGUAAAUUCCAUCUAAAGCUAAAUAUUGGCGAGAGACCGAUAGCGAACAAGUACCGUGAGGGAAAGAUGAAAAGAACUUUGGAAAGAGAGUUAAACAGUACGUGAAAUUGCUGAAAGGGAAACGCUUGAAGUCAGUCGCGUUGGCCAGGGAUCAGCCUUGCUUUUGCAUGGUGUACUUUCUGGUUGACGGGUCAGCAUCAAUUUUGACCGCUGGAAAAGGGCCUGGGGAAUGUGGCAGCUUCGGCUGUGUUAUAGCCCCUGGUCGCAUACAGUGGUUGGGAUUGAGGAACUCAGCACGCCGCAAGGCGGGUUU
rnacentral:rRNA from 1 species